UACGGAGGGCGCAAGAGUUGUUCGGAUUUACUGGGCGUAAAGCGCGCGCAGGUGGAUUAACAAGUCAGAUGUGAAAUCCCAGGGCUUAACCCUGGAACUGCGUCUGAAACUGUCAGUCUGGAGUCUCAUAGGGGGUAGGGGAAUUUCACGUGUAGGGGUAAAAUCCGUAGAGAUGUGAAGGAACACCCGUGGCGAAGGCGCCUACCUGGAUGAGUACUGACGCUGCGGCGCGAAAGCGUGGGGAGCAAACAGG
rnacentral:rRNA from 1 species